CUUGAUCUACCACUAUCUCUAUCAUAGACUACUUUGGCAUCCACAACAUUGCCUUGCUCACUGAACAAUUCUUUAAGUGCCAGGUCAUCGACACCCCACGAGAGGUUUCCUACGUAUACUCUAUUGCUGCUGUCAACACUUCUCCCACCCCGUGCACCUCCAAAAGAAGAAUUCCCGUCCCUUCCACCUCCAUAUGAAGAAUUUCCACCCCUUCCACCUCCAAACGAAGAAUUCUCCCUUUUGGCUGGUGCUGGCCCUGCGUUCACCCUUAUUGCCCUCCCGUCAAUUUCCUGCAAAAAUGACAUCAGAAUGUUCGCUUAGAUAUCAAUCAAAAUCGUUGCAACUGAGUGCAUAUCCAAGCACUUGAUAAGACUUAAGAUUAUACAAAUUGCAAGUUGAAAGUGAGACUAGAAAAAGUUAAUUAACGAAUAUAGUUUGUUUUAACAGUCUUUAAGAUAACCAAAACCAUGGAAAAUUUAGACAACCGUUGUAAUAUAAGUACACUUAAUGGUAAUAAUGGAUUACGAGCAGAAAGGGCAAGACUUUACAUAUCCAUUGAAUUGUUGUUCAGCAGCUUCAACUUCCUCUUUCGUAGACAUUGUCACAAAACCAAACCCUCUGCUUCUUCCAGUGAGCUUGUCAUAUAUAACCUGCAAAAAUUGUAACAAAAUUCACUACUUCAUUACCCUCCUAGUCAAUCCUUCUCGCCCAAAACAAACUCUGUUGAGCUCACUACAGGGAAUGUACAAAACAAAGAGUGCCUUCUCCAAAGAAACUAGAGCAAAUAGGACAAAAGAAUUACUGCUACAUUGCAAAAGUUUCAUAGCAACUUACUCACUGGUCAUGUUUCCAAUUACGAUUUAAGUUAUAUACACUGUCAGUAUAAUGAAUUUUACACCAUCAGUGUGAUUUAACAUGUUAUAGCAGAUUUCUUUGCCAUUUUCUAGGUUACCUAUCAAUGUUUAUUAAGUAGAGUUACUUGCAAUUACCUAUUAAAUGACCAUUUAAGAACCUUAAAAUAUCCAUUUCCAGUUAAUAACGUUCAAACAUGACCAACACAGCAAUUCAAAGGAAUCUGAAGAAGGGAACUCCACUCCAAAUCAAAGCUUACUCCUUAAGUCUUGAAUUGAGUGAACCAACAACAACAACAACAACAACAACAAACCAAGUGUAAUUCUACAAAGUGGUGGGGAGGGCAGAGUACGCACACCUUAACACUACCUUGUGAAGGUGGAGAGGCUGUUUCCGACAGACCCUCGGCUCUCUUGAAUUGAGUGAACCACCACAUAUUAAUGCUUAAACUGUAGACACUUUUAAUUAUGCCAUGGCACAAUUUUAACUAUUUAAUUACGCUUUAACAUUAAUUAGCAAAAACAUAGGAAUAAUUGGCAGUUAACUAAAUUACCUCAACCAUUUCGACAUUUCCAGCACGUUCGAAAAGGCCAGCAAGAGCAGCACUGUCACCACUGAAAGGCAAAUUACCAACAAAGAGUUUAAGGUCUUCAGAGAAACGGGGUUGUUCUGAUACUUCAACAUCAUCUUCCAAUUGGUCAAAAUCAGAGAGCGCAACGCGAGUC
rnacentral:lncRNA from 1 species